rnacentral:lncRNA from 1 species
AAAUCCUCAGUGCCCCUCAACAGCACUACUGGACAUCCCUAUCACCACAGAUGGCCUCUGAGACAUUGUCUCAACCUCAUCUGCACCUGUGAGAGGCCAGUCCGAGGGGUGAGAACACUGAUCCACUUUGGACUUGCCUUUGUCCUGGUUCCUGCCUUUCCCAGAGAGCCCCUGUGAGGCCCAGGAUGAAGGGAGGCAGUGAAGUCAACAGCCUGGCCAUAUUUCGACACUACAACUGCCUCUGGGGUCUCAAGUAUGAUUCUAUCUCCCAAAGAACCCUCAACAACACACCACACUAUAUUCCAAUCACCAUGGACCUGAGUCUUGCACACAGCUUCUUUCAAGAAUGGAGUCAGAAAAGCAGUUAUCAGCAACGACCUCACAGUCGUGAAUUGCCUUGACCUCCAGCGUGACCCGACCACAGAGAUGACUCGAAGGGGCCCUAAGAUCAAGACUUUCAGGGUUUCCCAGUGGGUUUUCGUAGGCGGACUUUUUCCCGAUAUCAGGCAGGCUCUGCCGGUACCAUUUUCCUCUGCAUAGGCAGGCUGACAUCUCUGACAGCCUAGCGUGGGCGCCUCCAUCGCGAAUGCGCAUGCGCUAGUCUUAGGGCACGGGGCCUGAGCUGUGAGCUGUGGUUAACAUCCCAAUAAAUGCCUCCGUUCCCUAGCCACAAGUCCCUGUGGCUCGACUUAGAAGGACACCUUGGUGGAGGUGCGUCGGCAGUGGUCUCUUGCCUGCCUUAUCUGUGGGAUCCAUGGGAUAGUCCCAUGUUCCUAAGAGAGGUCAGACGUGAGCAGCCUGAAGAAACCUCAAGCAGAGCCCAAGGAAUAAAUCACGAAAUCCCUAAGGAUCUAAAAGGAUCUGCAUGAUGCCUCAGACCUGCCUAGAUGUUGUAGGGGGUAUCAACCUCAUCUGCACCAGUGAGAUGUCAAUCCGAGGUGUAACAAAACUGUUCCACAGUGGACUUGCCUUUAUCAUGGCUCCUGCCUUUCCCAGAGAGCUUCUGCAAGACCCACAAUGAAGAGAGGCAGUGAUGGCAAGAGCCCAGCCAUCUUUCUCUGACACCCGCCUCUGGGGUCUCAGGUAUGAUUCUAUCACCCA